CUGCUGCCUCCCGUAGGAGUCUGGUCCGUGUCCCAGUCCCAGUGUGGGGGGCCUUCCUCUCAGAACCCCUACGCAUCGUCGCCACGGUGGGCCGUCACCCCGCCGUCUAGCUAAUGCGCCGCAUGCCCAUCCGCCACCGGAUCGCUCCUUUGGCCACCGGAGGAUGCCCUCCGGUGGCGUCACGGGGUAUUAGGCCGCGUUUCCGCGGGUUAUCCCCCUGUGGCGGCCAGGUUGCAUACGUGUUACUCACCCGUGCGCCGGUCGCCGGCGGGACG
rnacentral:rRNA from 1 species